rnacentral:rRNA from 1 species
UGGGGAAUAUUGGACAAUGGGGGCAACCCUGAUCCAGCGACGCCGCGUGUGUGAAGAAGGCCUGCGGGUUGUAAAGCACUUUUAGUGGGGAUGAAAAGCACAUUGCUAAUACCAGUGUGUCUUGACCUAACCCAAAGAAAAAGCACCGGCUAACUACGUGCCAGCAGCCGCGGUAAUACGUAGGGUGCGAGCGUUAAUCGGAAUUACUGGGCGUAAAGCGUGCGCAGGCGGUUUUGUAAGCCAGAUGUGAAAGCCCCGGGCUUAACCUGGGAAUGGCAUUUGGGACUGCAAGGCUUGAGUGCGGCAGAGGAGACUGGAAUUCCUGGUGUAGCAGUGAAAUGCGUAGAUAUCAGGAGGAAUACCGAUGGCGAAGGCAGGUCUCUGGGCUGACACUGACGCUCAUGCACGAAAGCGUGGGGAGCAAA